UGAGGAAUAUUGCGCAAUGGGGGAAACCCUGAUGCAGCGACGCCGCGUGAGCGAUGAAGCCCUUCGGGGUGUAAAGCUCUUUCGGCAGGAACGAUAAUGACGGUACCUGCAGAAGAAGCUGCGGCUAACUACGUGCCAGCAGCCGCGGUAAUACGUAGGCAGCAAGCGUUGUUCGGAGUUACUGGGCGUAAAGGGUUCGUAGGCGGUCCUCUAAGUUCGGUGUGAAAUCUCCCGGCUCAACUGGGAGGGUGCGCCGGAAACUGGGGGGCUUGAGUAUGGGAGAGGGAAGUGGAAUUCCUGGUGUAGCGGUGAAAUGCGUAGAUAUCAGGAGGAACACCUGCGGUGUAGACGGCUUCCUGGACCAUGACUGACACUGAGGCACGAAAGCGUGGGUAGCAAACA
rnacentral:rRNA from 1 species